CAUCACAUGUGCAUUUGCAACACAUUGGCGGAGGCAAUACGAACUGCAUUUCUCGCUAGCUGGACAAGUCGGAAUGGCAAUGCAUCUUGGAGAACAAGACUCGAAUUGUGAAAGUCUGGUGGUUUUCACCAAGUUUCACAGAACUUUGUUUUAUGUCGAGAUGGUCUGACACCAUGUCACCUGAUGCUGUCACUCUCUGGUCAGCUCUUUGCAAGGACAUGGUGCUAUGCAGCCUUCAGCUGCUGAAGAGGCAAGAUUACAUUUCUGAAUUACACUACACGAUUACAUUACAUUUGAAGAGGCAAGAUUACAUACUUAAGUGUUUAAA